GGAAGGAUCAUUAACACUAUCGGUUUUUCAAACCGGAACCUCUAAACAACUUGUGAAACUGUAAACAGUCUAAUCAAUUUCCAAUCCAAACUAUCAAAACCGAACUAAAGUUUAAAAUAUCCAACCAAAAUUACAACUCUUAGCAAUGGAUAUCUUGGUUCCCACAACGAUGAAGAACGCAGCGAAAUGCGAUACGUAAUGCGAAUUGCAGAAUUCAGUGAAUCAUCAAAUCUUUGAACGCAAGUUGCGCUCUCGAGAUAUCCUUGAGAGCAUGCCUCUUUGAGUGUCGGUUUCUAAAUGUUCCGUUUUCGAAUGGAGUGACUGGGUUUUGAUCUGUGAUCAUGGCCGCAAAUGUACUCGGCAACCGCGUCGCUUCUUGGUCUCCAGGCAAACACGCAUCGCCCAACAAACACUCAAGAUCUCAAAUGAGGUAAGACUACCCGCCGAAUUUAAGCAUAUAAUUAAGCGGAGGAAAAGAAACUAACAAGGAUUCCCUCAGUAACGGCGAGUGAAGCGGGAAGAGCUCAAACCGAAAAUCACUGUCUCGGCAGCGAAUUGUGGUCUAUUGAAGCGUGUCUCAGUGUGUGGCCCCGGUCCAAAUCAAUUGGAACAUUGUAUCAGAGAGGGUGAGAAUCCCGUCCCUGGCUGGGUGUCCACCGCGUUCGAGCCGUUCUCAAAGAGUCGGGUUGCUUGGGAGUGCAGCCCUAAGUGGGUGGUAAAUUUCAUCUAAAGCUAAAUAUCUGUGGGAGACCGAUAGCGAACAAGUACCGUGAGGGAAAGAUGAAAAGAACUUUGAAAAGAGAGUCAAAAAGUACUUGAAAUUGCUGAGAACGAAGGGAUGGCAACUAGUACUGGCCGGAGUGAUUUUUCCUUCCGCAGCGUAACUUGGCGCGUUCGAAUUGCUUCUGCUUUCGUUCGCGUCAAAGAGAAACUGUGGAUGGGUCCUGUCGCUCUGGCCGAGGUCAGAAUGGGUUUGGUUCGGUCGAAAACGGCGCGGGGAAGGUAGCUUGGCCCUCGGGCUUUGAACUUAUAGUCCCGCGUCGCCACAUCGUCCCAGACCGAGGUGUCGAAAUGCGCGCUCUAAGCUGUGUUGGCGUGGGUGCUGUUGCAUUGGCGCUGUUGGGGAACAAUGUUCCGUCUCGGUUGCUCUUGCGCACUCGCUCACGUUCUCAUUGUCGCAUUCGGGAUUCUGACGAAAUGGUUGUCAUUCACCCGUCUUGAAACACGGACCAAGGAGUCUUACAUAUAUGCGAGUAAUCGAGUGGGAAACUCGUUUGCGGAAUGAAGGUGAAUGAAUGUGACCGGCGCUCUCGGGCGCUGGGCAACAUCGGGCGGCUAAAAUAUCUGUACGACCAUGAGCAUAUCUGUAGGGACCCGAAAGAUGGUGAACUAUGCCUGAGCAGGAUGAAGCCAGGGGAAACUCUGGUGGAAGUCCGAAGCGAUACUGACGUGCAAAUCGUUCGUCUGACUUGGGUAUAGGGGCGAAAGACUAAUCGAACUAUCUAGUAGCUGGUUCCCUC
rnacentral:misc_RNA from 1 species